rnacentral:rRNA from 1 species
UACGAAGGGGGCUAGCGUUGCCCGGAAUCACUGGGCGUAAAGCGCACGUAGGCGGCUUUUUAAGUCAGGGGUGAAAUCCUGGAGCUCAACUCCAGAAUUGCCUUUGAUACUGAAGAUCUUGAGACCGGAAGAGGUUAGUGGAACUGCGAGUGUAGAGGUGAAAUUCGUAGAUAUUCGCAAGAACACCAGUGGCGAAGGCGGCUAACUGGUCCGGUUCUGACGCUGAGGCGCGAAAGCGUGGGGAGCAAACAGG